rnacentral:tRNA from 1 species
UAAAGGUUAGUUAAAUUAUAAUAUAGGUCUGUCGGUUCUAUGAUGUAAGAUGUUGUCUUACACCUUUAU